rnacentral:rRNA from 1 species
GACGAACGCUGGCGGCGUGCCUAAUACAUGCAAGUCGAACGGUUUAGUUCCAAGAGGCUUGCCUUUUGGAACUAGACAGUGGCGGACGGGUGAGUAACACGUAGGCAACCUACCUGUCAAACCGGGAUAACCUCGGGAAACCGAAGCUAAACCCGGAUAAGCUCCUUUUUCGCAUGAAGGGGGAGUGAAAAGGUGCGACCUGAUGACAGAUGGGCCUGCGGCGCAUUAGCUAGUAGGUAGGGUAACGGCCUACCUAGGCGAGGAUGCGUAGCCGACCUGAGAGGGCGUACGGCCACACUGGGACUGAGAUACGGCCCAGACUCCUACGGGAGGCAGCAGUAGGGAAUCUUCGGCAAUGGGCGAAAGCCUGACCGAGCAACGCCGCGUGAGUGAGGAAGGCCUUCGGGUUGUAAAACUCUGUUGUUUGGGAAGAAGGGAAAGGGUAGGACCCUUUGGUGACGGUACCAAACGAGAAAGCCCCGGCUAACUACGUG